rnacentral:lncRNA from 1 species
UAAGACUGGGGAGUGUAAAACUGUGACUCAUUCAUUGACAGUCUACAGUCAAACCCUGUGCUAGCAUGCACCAUGCUUCCCCCUCCCUCCUACACACACCCAGCAUGUUCCCAUGAUCCUUGAAGAUUCUCACUUCUGGAGGUGAGACCCGGGAACACCAGGCAGAAAAAGCAGGAAGAUCAUUCUUCAGGGAGCUUGUGUGCCUGCCUGAAAAGCUGGCUAGG